rnacentral:rRNA from 1 species
AAGAAAUGCAAAACUCUAAUACAGUUUUGAGAUGACGGUACCAUUAGAGAAAGCACCGGCUAAACUCGUGCCAGCAGCCGCGGUAAUACGAGUGGUGCAAGCGUUAUUCGGAUUGAUUGGGCGUAAAGGGUGCGCAGGCGGUGCACUAAGUCAACUGUCAAAGACCUCAGCCUAACUGGGGAACGGCGGUAGAUACUGGUGUGCUAGAGGGUGGAAGAGAGAAGUGGAAUUCUUGGAGUAGCGGUAAAAUGCGUAGAUCUCAAGAGGAACACCGAUGGCGAAGGCAGCUUCUUGGUCCACAUCUGACGCUCAUGCACGAAAGCGUGGGGAGCAAACAGGAUUAGAUACCCUGGUAGUCCACGCUGUAAACGAUGAUCACUAGACGUUAGUCUCGCUCUGCGAGAUUAGUGUCGCAGCUAACGCGAUAAGUGAUCCGCCUGGGGAUUACGGUCGCAAGAUUAAAACUCAAAGGAAUUGACGGGGGUCCGCACAAGCGGUGGAACAUGUGGUUUAAUUCGACACAACGCGCAGAACCUUACCCAGAUUUGACAUGCCACUGCAAGCCCGUGAAAACGGGUCGCCUUCNANGGUGUGGCACCGGUGCUGCAUGGCUGUCGUCA